rnacentral:rRNA from 1 species
CAGCAGCCGCGGGAAUACAGAGGAUGCAAGCGUUAUCCGGAAUGAUUGGGCGUAAAGCGUCUGUAGGUGGCUUUUCAAGUCCGCCAUCAAAUCCCAAGGCUCAACCCUGGACAGGCGGUGGAAAGUACCAAGCUGGAGUACGGUAGGGGCAGAGGGAAUUUCCGGUGGAGCGGUGAAAUGCGUUGAGAUUGGAAAGAACACCAACGGUGAAAGCACUCUGCUGGCCGACACUGACACUGAGAGACGGAAGCUAGGGGAGCAAAUGGGAUUAGAUACCCGUGUAGUCCCUGUCUCUUAUACA